rnacentral:lncRNA from 1 species
GGGGGUGGGGGGGGGUGGUUAGGGAAUGUGUAGGUACAGAGCACUGACAACAGGUGGCGCACUUCACCACCAAGCUGCUCUUCCAGCCCGUUCUGCUGGGACUUGGGAACCUCUGGCGAGAAUUUGAAAUGGUCAGGUAACACCAAGAUGGCAAGCACGCAGGGGUGUAGCAGCUGCUACACAGUAUGGUAAAGAGAAGGGACAACAGGACAGGAAACUAUCCCAAAACAGGAGAGUGUGACUUGGAACUGCAUGGCAUCUGCUAUCCCAACCAUGGGCUAUUCCCCAAUCUCAGAGCACUGGACACACAAACACUUAAAAGAGUGCAGGGUCUGUGUAGCCCAGGCUGGCCUUGACUUCUUGGUGACCCUUCUGCCUCAGCCUCCUAGUGCUGGAAGACAGGUCUGCACCACCAUACCCAACCAGACACCAAGAUUGAAAUCCUUUCUCAGGAGUCUUCUAGCCGUGACUUUACUGAGAUACCUACAGCUCUCUGGGAUUCAUCUGUAAAAAAUGACUAUGCUUACCUCAAAGGGCUUUUUGAGGACCAAGGACGUAAAGCAAGUAAUGCUAACUAUAUAUUGUGUAGAGAAAGUAGCUAGUAGCUGUACCAAUGAUGUUAUCGGAGAUGAAAAUAAAGUUAAUGUUGGAAUGUGAAAGAUGCACAUUUCAGUUUAAUAUUACCGACCGUGUAUUAAGACAUGUGGAAGGUUCCCAUCCAAGCUCAGGGCAAGGAUCUCUCGGUUACUUUCGCUUAGACACCCUUGCUGAAGGCAAAGGGCUGAAUUACUGCGAUGCUUGAUGCUAACCAGGAAGUGCUGAAAGGUGCAUCUCUUGCUUCUAGUUGGUGUUGCGUUGGCACGGGGGUAGGGGUGGGGGGUGGAUUAAUUCAAAGAGUCUGUCCCAAGUAGAGAGUGAAGUGGAUUCUGCAGAGUGCCCAAGUACUCCCCUGGGCGACUCAGGAGGGACAAUCCCUAUACAGCCUACCCUACACUGGUCACCUCUUCCCUCCCUUCCCAGCACUCACUACUCGAGGCUGGAGAGAAGGUAUGUGCAAAGUAAAGACAGCAGUUGCAGAAUGGCU